rnacentral:rRNA from 1 species
UGGGGAAUAUUGCACAAUGGGCGCAAGCCUGAUGCAGCCAUGCCGCGUGUGUGAAGAAGGCCUUCGGGUUGUAAAGCACUUUCAGCGGGGAGGAAGGCGAUAAGGUUAAUAACCUUGUCGAUUGACGUUACCCGCAGAAGAAGCACCGGCUAACUCCGUGCCAGCAGCCGCGGUAAUACGGAGGGUGCAAGCGGUAGUCGGAAUUACUGGGCGUAAAGCGAGCGCAGGCGGUUUUUUAAGUCUGAUGUGAAAGCCCCCGGCUCAACCGGGGAGGGUCAUUUGAAACUGGGGGACUUGGGUGCAGAAGAGGGGAGUGGAGUUCCAGGUGUAGCGGUGAAAUGCGGAGAUAUAUGGGGGAACACCAGUGGCGAAGGCGGCUCUCUGGUCUGUAACUGACGCUGAGGCUCGAAAGCGUGGGGAGCAAACAGG